CUGUUCUGAGUCAAGUCCCCUUGUAUGAACACAAACAAGGUGACAUGUGCUUAGGACAGGU
ensembl:miRNA